AGCAGCCGCGGUAAUUCCAGCUCCAAUAGCGUAUAUUAAAGUUGUUGCAGUUAAAAAGCUCGUAGUUGAAUUUCGGGGUCAAUAAGUUGGUCGUGCCUAUGGUAUGCACUGGCUUUAUUGAUUCCUACCUCUUGACGAACUGUGAUGCCAUUAAUUUGGUGUCGCAAGGAAUCAGGACUGUUACCUUGAAAAAAUUAGAGUGUUUAAAGCAGGCUUACGCUUGAAUACAUUAGCAUGGAAUAAUGAAAUAGGACGUUUGAACCUAUUUUGUUGGUUUCUAGGAUCGACGUAAUGAUUAAUAGGGAUAGUUGGGGGCAUUAGUAUUCAAUUGUCAGAGGUGAAAUUCUUGGAUUUAUUGAAGACUAACUACUGCGAAAGCAUUUGCCAAGGAUGUUUUCAUUAAUCAAGAACGAAAGUUAGGGGAUCGAAGACGAUCAGAUACCGUCGUAGUCUUAACCAUAAACUAUGCCGACUAGGGAUCGGAUGAUGUUAAUUUUUAAUGACUCAUUCGGCGCCUUAC
rnacentral:rRNA from 1 species